rnacentral:tmRNA from 1 species
GGGGCCGACCAGGUUUCGACGUGGGUUGCAAAGCAGUGCAGGGCAUACCGAGGCUCAGCUACCUCGUAAAUACAACUGAAACAAGUAUAGUCGCAAACGACGAAACUUACGCUCUAGCCGCUUAAUCCCGGUUGGACGCUGCACCGAAGGGCCUCUCGGUCGGGUGGGAAACCACAGCAGCGUCAUAAAGAGAGGCUCGUGUUGUAUAGGGUUACUUUAUACACCAUUAAAUCCAAGGUAACUCGUCUUGUAGUCGCUUGUCGGUUGGUGCAUGCAAGAUUAAAUCAAACAACCAGGCUAAGUAUGUAGAACUGUCUGUAGAGUGCUUGCGGACGGGGGUUCGAUUCCCCCCGGCUCCACCA